UUUUUUCUCCCUCUCGUCCUCCCCUGCUCUCUCUCUCUAAUUAAGAUAAAUAGCAAUAGGCACUCCCUUGACAAGUUAUCGUAGUCCAACUGAGGAAAUGGGUCACCAUAGUCUAACAUCCUAGAUGGAAUUGGAGGCAUCUCGAACAUAAUUUCACCCUUUUCAUACUUUAUAGGAUUAGCCUACUUAUAAUUGGUUUACAAGAUCUCAAGAAAGAGACCUUGUAGAACAUGCCUACAAAGAUUGACGAAGACAAAUCCUUCAUGUUCUUGUUUAAAACCGUAACAAACAUGUUUAACUGGAUAGAGACUUCCUUGCCGACAAAGCGAGAAGUGAUCCCAUAGCAGGGUUUGUCUGAUUAUGUAGAUAUAUUAGUAUGGAAUCUUUAAUUGUGCCAUUCGUGUAUGACUUUGAAUUUCU
rnacentral:lncRNA from 1 species